GCCUACGGGGGGCAGCAGUGGGGAAUAUUGGGCAAUGGGCGCAAGCCUGACCCAGCAACGCCGCGUGAAGGAAGAAGGCUUUCGGGUUGUAAACCUCUUUUAAGGGGGACGAACAAAUGACGGUACCCCUUGAAUAAGCCACGGCUAACUACGUGCCAGCAGCCGCGGUAAUACGUAGGUGGCAAGCGUUAUCCGGAUUUAUUGGGUGUAAAGGGCGUGUAGGCGGGAAUGCAAGUCAGAUGUGAAAACUAUGGGCUUAAACCAUAGCGUGCCUUUGAAACUGUAUUUCUUGAGUGCUGG
rnacentral:rRNA from 1 species